CGCUCUUUGAUUAAAGAACAUAAAGAGUCGAGCCUGCCCAGUGAUUUAAUUUAACGGCCGCGGUACUCUGACCGUGCAAAGGUAGCAUAAUCAUUUGCCCUAUAAUUGAGGGCUAGUAUGAAUGGUUUAACAAAAGUAAUUCUGUCUCCAUAAAAUUUUAUAGAACUUGGUUUUUAGGUGAAGAAACCUGAAUAAUAUUGAAAGACAAGAAGACCCUAUCGAGCUUAAAAAAAUUUUAUUGUUUAAAUACAAAAGUCAUUUCAAUAAAAAAUUUUGGUUGGGGCGACUAAGGAACAUACAAAGCUUCCUUUUAUAAUAAAAACCAAUAAGUAUUGAUCCAAAAUAAUUGAUUAAUAAAAUUAGUUACCGUAGGGAUAACAGCAUAAUCUUUUUUAAGAGUUCUUAUCGAAAAAAAGGUUUGUGACCUCGAUGUUGGACUAGGAUAUCCUGAAGAUGCAGAAGUCUUCAAUGGUUGGUCUGUUCGACCAAUAAAAUCCU
rnacentral:rRNA from 1 species